GCAAUUAAUCGCAGCAGUUCCAAAGCUUUACACCCCUUGCCAAUUGGCGUUUUUCUGUCUGUUGGCUUGCAUGUGUUGCCAUUGGCCGCGUCGAUCGUGCGCCAUCGUUGAGUAUGACCUGGGGAGGAGCGCAGAGAGGCAGAGAAAGGAAGUUGGGAAACAGAUUUAAACCAACAUUUGAACUGUUGUCUCGGUUUGUCAGUACUUUGAGAAAACUUAAUUACCGAAGAAGUCUGGAUCGUAAAACAAGCUUUGAAGCUGCUUCUUUGUCAAACGCGAGUGAGACUGGACGCUGAACACACCUGGCGCGAAGGUCUACUGUUCAGCUGCAGCAGCUUGGACAGAGACUCCAACAUCACCUUACAGACCAACAGGUGUCACCACUUCGUCCACGAUCGCCGAGACAUCAUCCAUGAUCACAUAGACAUUGUCCAUGAUCGAAGAGACAUUGUACAACAAAGAAGCUCUUUGAGACCAGGACUGAGGCCUCCAGGAGGAGAAGACAACAGCAGCCAAAUACCUGGAGGGACGAAAGAAAACAACACGCUGUUAAUUAGAUGAAAGACCUCCACCAUCUGACUGCUGUAAACAGUGCUGGUUUCCUGUUGUUCAAGUUUUGUUAGUCCUGGACACAUUUUCCAAAGACAGAUAAGUCUUUAUUAAACACCUGUGAGAACAUUCAACAAUGAUACAACUAUUUAAUUAUUGUAUCACAAGCAGUUAAAUGAUCACAAAGAUGCCUAGUUGACGUUUUCAUCUUCGGAAAAUGUGCUCAUCACUACAUUAACCCUAACCAGCUCUAACAAGUGUUUCCUUG